GAAUUUUGGACAAUGGGCGAAAGCCUGAUCCAGCAAUGCCGCGUGCAGGAUGAAGGCCUUCGGGUUGUAAACUGCUUUUGUACGGAACGAAAAGCUUUGGGUUAAUACCCUGGAGUCAUGACGGUACCGUAAGAAUCAGCACCGGCUAACUACUUGCCAGCCGCCGCGGUAAUACGUAGGGUGCAAGCGUUAAUCGGAAUUAAUGAGCGUAAAGCGUGCGCCGGCGGUUUUGUAAGACAGAGGUGAAAUCCCCGGGAUCAACCUGGGAACUGCCGUUGUGACCGGAAGGGUAGAGUACGGCAGAGGGGAGUGGAAUUCCGCGUGUAGCAGUGAAAUGCGUAGAUAUGCGGAGGAACACAGAUGGCGAAGGCAACCCCCUGGGCCUGUACUGACGCUCAUGCACGAAAGCGUGGGGAGCAAAC
rnacentral:rRNA from 1 species